AUUGAACGCUGGCGGCAGGCCUAACACAUGCAAGUCGAGCGAGCGGCGGACGGGUGAGUAAUGUAUGGGGACUGCCCGAUAGAGGGGGCUGACUACUGGAAACGGUGGCUAAUACCGAAUACUGUAGGAUAACCCAUAGGGGAUUAGCUAGUAUGUGAGGUAAUGGGUUACCUAGGCGAAGAUCCCUAGCUGGUCUGAGAGGAGGAUCAGCCACACUGGGACUGAGACACGGCCCAGACUCCUACGGAGGCAGCAGUGGGGAAUAUUGCACAAGGGGCGCAAGCCUGAUGCAGCCAUGCCGCGUGUAUGAAGAAGGCCCUAGGGUUGUAAAGUACUUUCAGUCGGGAGGCGUUACCGACAGAAGAAGCACCGGCUAACUCCGUGCCAGCAGCCGCGGUAAUAC
rnacentral:rRNA from 1 species